rnacentral:rRNA from 1 species
UACAGGGGGUGCAAACGUUGCCCGGAAUUACUGGGCGUAAAGCGUGCGUAGGUGGUUUGUUAAGUCUGUUGUGAAAGCCCCGGGCUCAACCUGGGAAUGGCAAUGGAUACUGGCAAGCUAGAGUGCGGUAGAGGGUAGUGGAAUUCCCGGUGUAGCGGUGAAAUGCGUAGAGAUCGGGAGGAACACCAGUGGCGAAGGCGGCUACCUGGACCAGCACUGACACUGAGGCACGAAAGCGUGGGGAGCAAACAGG